rnacentral:lncRNA from 12 species
UUUCCUACUAGAUUUUUUGGAGUGGUGGUGAAGACUGGAUUCCCCCCAAAAGCAGACCCCAACAUCAGGAGGUAUGCAUAAAUAAUGUAGAAGCUUAUCUUAGGGAGAAGAAAAAUGGAAAGGUGAGCCAGGGAAGGAAAAAGAAGCCAAUAAAUGGCAUGUUACCAAAUAGGUUACUACUAGGGCAACUAGUAUCCAGUCUUACUAGGGAAUUCUGAGAGAUAGUGAAAACCAUGCCUCCAAAAUAUCUUGACAGAGGAGAGAGGAUGCUGAGGUCUAUAUCUACCCCCUCUUCCUGAGUCAUUGGUUGAAGGAUGUUCCCCUGGACAACCCCCCUCACUGCCUUCUUGCCCUGUAGGUUGGCCAGGCCAAAAGAAAAACCUUGGGUGGAGGUAAAGGUAAGGGCUACAAGAUGCUGUUAGCAUGUUUUUGGAACAGUGGACCCUGAAAGAAUAGGAGUGAAGCACCAAGAAUAUGUGUCACACCAGUCCUAGAAUGCUUGGGUUCAUUCUAGAUUUCUUUUCUUUGGACAGAGUAUCAUUGUUCCCCACCCCACCCCCAUGUCUGUCCCAUAUCCAUUCUCUUCUGGAACUGAUGAGACUGUCGGCUGCUUCUACCAAACCCUGGGCCAAGUCAGUGUAUGGGGUGAAGGAAGCAUAAGAAUCAGCUGAUAUUGGCCUAAGAACAAGAACAGACAACUGGAGGCUGCUGGUGGCAUUUUCAAAGAAGAUCAAUAUGGAAAGAAAAAUACGUGGACAGGAGAAAUGAGGAUGGGUAGGAAGUACAAAUAUUGGAGGCAGGAAAGUAUGAAAUCUGUUAGUCUAGGCAGGGGAAAUAGAAUUUUAGCUAUGGAGGAGGGAAUAGAUUUUUUUUUUUUUAAAAGGGGGCGGGCAUGUGAGAACAAGUGAGAAUAAUAAUUUGUUGCCAAGCUUUGUUUUGUUGAUUAUUUUCCUCCAGGCUUAGAUCCAAAAAGGAAGAAGAAGAAGAAAAAAAGACUUGCAGUGCUUUCCUGAAAGUUAUGAACAGUAUUGACCAAACAAUCUACAAAUUGAGUUUCUGUACUUUUUAAAAAGAGCUUAUUUUAUCUUACGCUUGAAAAGUUAAAACCAACCCCAUAAGACCUUCCAUUUCUUUCAUCUGAACUAUUAUGGAUCCAUAUUUCCUACUGGUGAUAUAGACAUGCCUAGGGGCUAAAUGAAAAAUAAGAGUAAAAAAUAAAUAAACCAACAUACACCA